UACGUAGGGGGCGAGCGUUGUCCGGAUUUAUUGGGCGUAAAGAGCUCGUAGGCGGUUUGGUAAGUUGGAUGUGAAAUCUCCAGGCUCAACUUGGAGGGGUCAUUCGAUACUGCCAUGACUAGAGUUCGGUAGGGGAGUUUGGAAUUCCUGGUGGAGCGGUGAAAUGCGCAGAUAUCAGGAGGAACACCCGUAGCGAAGGCGGCACUCUGGGCCGGAACUGACGCUGAGGAGCGAAAGCGUGGGGAGCGAACAGG
rnacentral:rRNA from 1 species